rnacentral:rRNA from 1 species
GAUGAACGCUAGCGGGAGGCUUAAUACAUGCAAGUCGAACGGUAACAUGGGACUUCGGUCCUGAUGACGAGUGUCGCACGGGUGAGUAACGCGUACACAACCUACCUAUAAGAGGUGAAUACCCAUUGGAAACGAUGACUAAUACACCAUAGUAUUAUUUGAUAGAUAAUUGGAUAAUUAAAGCUUCGGCGCUUAUAGAUGGGUGUGCGUACUAUUAGCUAGUUGGUAAGGUAACGGCUUACCAAGGCGACGAUAGUUAGGGGGCGUGAGAGCGUGGACCCCCACACGGGUACUGAGACACGGACCCG